AUACUUACCUGGCAGGGGAGACACCAUGAUCAAGAAGGUGGUUCACCCAGGCGAGGCUCAGCUAUUGCACCCGGUUAAAGGACCUCGCGAAUUCCCCAAAUGGGAAUUCACUGCACAAUUUCUGGGAUAGUGGGGACUGGCGUCAAGGCUUCCCUGGU